CAGAAGACAAUUUGCAAUUUGAUUUAUUUAUUUCCUUAUUUAUUCAUCUUUUAUUUAUUAGUUCAUGUGGUUUUGUAAAUGCUUCAGAACAGAAAUCCCUACUACUAUUCACCAAAAUCAGAAAAACUAAACUAAACCUUCCACUUACUUGUAUGCGUUUGAAUAUGUAACAUAGCUUCUGUCAUGGUCCGCGGCCCGGCGUCCGAGGUGCUGAUGGGAUGCCCACUCCCGUGGGCGUGGCUGCUAACUCCACACCUGCAUCCCAUCCCAGGCGAUCACCAGGUGGACUAUUUAAUCCUGCCCAGCCUGCUGCUCCACGCCAGUCCGUAGUCGUCCUUCAGCGAUCACAGCUCGGCGUGUUUGAGCCACCAGCCUGUCCACCUGCCUGUCCGGAAUUUGGAUCACGAUCAGCCCCAGCCGCCUCGACCUUUCUGAAGCUUCUCCCCACGGACCCUCACCCCUCCCUCCGGUUCCCUCGGCCCCGCUAUCAUCCCUCCCACAGUCCCGCUCUCGGCGUUCCUGCGCGAUUCACCUCCCGGUCCCUCGGUUUUUCUGGUUCCAUGCGUUUUUUUCCCUUCUACCCUCCCGGGACACCCUCAGUUAUAAUAAAGUUUAUUUUUUGUUCUCUCGUA
ensembl:lncRNA